AACUAAAUCUAGAAGAUUCUAAUCAAUUAUAUAUUAAUCUAGACUUCAUCUUCCACUCAUUUUCUUCAAAAAAAACCGUGCAUAUCAGCCCCCAUAGGAGAAGUAGACCUCAAGCUUUCAUCUCCCUCUAUUUUGCAAAUCGUUCGGUGAAAUCGAAUUCUAGACGCGUACUCCCCGAUGACUUGAGGCAAAGGAACCUAUAGUGCAUUUUGGAGACAAAGGAGUGAACCUAGAAGGUAGAGAAGUAUCAAGGUGAAAUAUGCUUAUGUUCAUAAGCCUAAGAGGUUAGAGUUGAUAGUAUGUCAGUGUGGUUGGGCAGCUUUGCAAUUUUUGGCGAGUCACUGGUGAUCAACAUGGUUAAAAGUCGUGGCAUGUUGUAUAAUAGUUCAAUCUUUGAUCUUUCGCUGGAUAAAUGUUAAGUUUUUAAUUGUAAUAGUUUUUAAUUGCUCUUUUUAAGCUAAAAAGAAAAUAGGAAAAUUUCAGUACGUGUUGUCGAUACUGAAACGUGACACCACGUAUUCGGUGGGUUUACCUACCGGGUAAGGGGUGUUACAAGUUGGUAUCAGAGCAAAGGUUUAGGUGGUUCUGGAAAGAAGUGAUUCAGUAAAGUGUGUAGAAACAUGCCACAUAGGAGUAAAUGUCUGUUAGUACCAGUGACUCGAUGCAGCUGCCUAUUUAUAAAGUGGAAAGAAGUUAGUAAAGUACGGGACAUAGUUUCCCGUGUGACCGAGAAAGAUGUUAUAUGAGACUGGCCACCUCAUAUAGUUCGACUCUCGGUAACGUUAUUUUGUGUAAAAGACUUAAAAAGUGCAGGGAGGGUGUGUUUGAAAAUAGUGAUGAAAAGUGUGUCCUAAUGAAAGAAAUGAGAUUUGCUUCAAUUGUAUUAUUCGAUAAUAUGUCAAAAUAAGAUGUUGGUAUGUUAUGUUGAGAAUUGUAGGAAAUGAGUGUUAAUAUAUGAAAUAUGAUGUGAUCGAAAAUAUGAUACGCGAUAUAUGGUGUGAUGGGAGGAACUGAUAUAUGAUAUACGG